AGAGCUAUAAAAUGAAAAUGCUUUUUUUAUGGGUGCAUAAUAGGAUUUUGCCAAAAAAAAAAGAAAACCUUUUAUUUUGGUUCUCCCCUUCCUAUAACAUAAUCUCACACUUGGAGCUCAUAAUUUAUUUUUGUGCUGAAUUUAUUGUGCUCUUGUAAGAAAUUACUAUUGAUCAGUAUUUGGUUUCUAGAUUGUGAUUUCUUUAUUUAGUGUCAUCAAUAUUUUUUUCAUCUCUAUGAGAAUGCUAAAUUAAAUUAACGGGGUUAGGGCUCAUAAUUUGUUUUGGUGCUGAAUUUUUAGUGUUAUUGUUUGAAAUUACUGAUAUCAAUAUGUGAUUUCUAGAUUGUGAUUUAUUUAUUUAAUGUUACCAGUAUUUUGUUCAUCUUCGUGUUAUGUUUUAUGAGAAAAUUGAAUUAAAUUCAUAGGGUUAGGGCUCUUAAUUUAUUUUGAUGCAGAAUUUAUAGUGUUAUUGCAAGAAAAUCAUAAGAUUCAACUUUAACAUUUUUAAUUUUAUGAUGGAUGGAUAUUUCUUAGUCCCACUCUACUUGGAAUCAUGUGAUUUGUGAAUAGCCACAAAUGUGUGGUACAUUGUUUUCUAUGCCUUUAUUAUUUCUGGUCAAUAAUGGGGUAUUGCAUUUCAUUACAUUCUUAUUUUCACUUGUGUUGUCUUGCCUAAGCAAUCACAUUGCAAAAUUGAGAAUGACACACUUAUUUGUGUGUCAAAGCUUAUAUUUCUCUCUCAUUUCUAUUAUAUUUUUUAUGAUAUUUUAUUCUUGGUGAAGCUCUUCAAAUUUCCUAAAGAAGCCCUAAAUUUAAUUUUAAUAUUCUUGCUCAAAUCCGUGCAUUUUCAUUGUUUAAUCGAGGGACCUGUGUAGAGCUUGUAAAAUCUGUUGUCUUUGAAAUGCCUCUUUCAUUUCUUACUUUUAUUUAUUUAUUUAUUGUUGUUGAAGAUCUUCAAAUCCUCUACAAAAAUGCUAAAUCGAUCUUUUUUAUUUCCACUUUUUACUCUUUCUCUAGAUUGUAAUUUCUUUAUUUACUGUGAUUAGUAUUUU
rnacentral:lncRNA from 1 species